UGAACGCUGGCGGCGUGCCUAAUACAUGCACGUCGAGCGAACGGACGAGAAGCUUGCUUUUCUGAUGUUAGCGGCGGACGGGUGAGUAACACGUGGAUAACCUACCUAUAAGACUGGGAUAACUUCGGGAAACCGGAGCUAAUACCGGAUAAUAUUUUGAACCGCAUGGUUCAAAAGUGAAAGACGGUCUUGCUGUCACUUAUAGAUGGAUCCGCGCUGCAUUAGCUAGUUGGUAAGGUAACGGCUUACCAAGGCAACGAUGCAUAGCCGACCUGAGAGGGUGAUCGGCCACACUGGAACUGAGACACGGUCCAGACUCCUACGGGAGGCAGCAGUAGGGAAUCUUCCGCAAUGGGCGAAAGCCUGACGGAGCAACGCCGCGUGAGUGAUGAAGGUCUUCGGAUCGUAAAACUCUGUUAUUAGGGAAGAACAUAUGUGUAAGUAACUGUGCACAUCUUGACGGUACCUAAUCGGAAAGCCACGGCUAACUACGUG
rnacentral:rRNA from 1 species